GUUUUUUAAGAAAGAUGAAGCCUGGGAAAUCAUGCAAUGAGAUUACACUUGUGGAAUCUGCAGAUCUACAAGCAAAUGGCCUGUCAUCUGAGCAAACCUAGAAAUGCCACUGGAUUUCAAGAGAAGAAUGGCUGCUAAGCAACUGAGAUAAGCUGACCUGAACAAGCAAGCAGAUCCAUUGACUUCCC
rnacentral:lncRNA from 11 species